GAUUGCUUUCGGCUCAUCUUAUAGCCAAUGAUUACGCUACGGGAUGUGAUGAUUGGUGCCAUUCCAAGCUAUGAGGAGCCGUAUAUUCAAGUUCCAAGGGUCUUAAGUAUGGACUAAAAACUUUGUAAAGUUCAUUGAAGGUGGAGCAGAGGCUGAAAUAAACUCAUAGUGAAGUUGACUCG